rnacentral:rRNA from 1 species
UACGGGGGGGGUAAGCGUUGUUCGGAAUUACUGGGCGUAAAGGGCUCGUAGGCGGCCAACUAAGUCGGACGUGAAAUCCCUCAGCUUAACUGGGGAACUGCGUCCGAUACUGGAUGGCUUGGAUUUGGGAGAGGGAUGCGGAAUUCCAGGUGUAGCGGUGAAAUGCGUAGAUAUCUGGAGGAAUACCGGUGGCGAAGGCGGCAUCCUGGACCGGCAUGACGCCUGAGUGAGCGAAAGC